GGAUCUUAUGGAAGGUGAAAUCAUAAACGUGACGUUGCAGAACAAUUACAACACAUAUAGUUUUGAUGGGAAGAAGAAGCUUGUGCUAUCGACAACAAGUUGGAUUGGUGGGAAGAAUGAUUUUUAAUACGUAUAGUUUUGAUGGGAAGAAGAAGCUCGUGCUAUCGACAACAAGCUGGAUUGGGGGAAAGAAUGAUUUUCUUGGCAUUGCUUAUCUUACAGUUGGUGGAUUGUGUUUCUUUUUGGCUUUGGCUUUUAUGAUUGUGUAUCUAGUUAAGCCAAGACAACUUGGAGAUCCAACUUAUUUGUCGUGGAAUCGGAAUCCAGGAGGUAACUAGCAUUCCAGAUGAGGCUGGUGGCUUGUCUUCUGGUAACUGUUUGUGUAAAAGUUGUUUUUUGAUGUGUUCUUGAUAUAGUUUUUAGACUCUUUUGCUAGGAAACAAUGGUAUGUAGUGAAGUAUAUUUCCUUUGAUAAGUGUUUAUUCAAAUUUACAUAUGUAUAAUGGAAGUUAUUGCUUAAAGGAGCAUAUGUAAUGAAGUAUAUUUCCUUUGAUAAGUGUUUAUUCAAAUUUACAUAUGUAUAAUGGAAGUUGUUGCUUAAAGGAGUUUGUUCAUUCAUGUCUUAAACUGGUUUGCAGGAUGUAAACUUUUUUGUGUCUUGUGAUAAUUGAAGGUGAGCCUUUGCUGCCAUGUGACCACGUGUUCGAGCCGUGAAAAUAGCCUCUUGCAAAAAUGCAGGGUAAGGCUGCAUACAAUAGACCCUUGUAGUCCGGCCUUCCCGAACAUCGUGUAUAGUGGGAGCUUAAUGUACCGGGCUACUCUUUAUAUAAGUUUCUUUUUGAAUGUUCUGCAUUCGAAGUACUGAGAUUCAUUUGCUAGCAAUCAAUGAUAUGUAAUGAAGUAUUCUUGCGUCUAGUGUUAACUAUCCGCAUACAAGUUUCUUAUUGAAAUGUUCUGCGUACAGUAUUAAGAUUCAUUUUCUAGCAAAGAAUGAUUAGUAAUGUAAUAUACCUCUGAUAUGUGUUUAUUUAAAUUUUAAGAGAAAAUAUAUUCUGAAAUAAGUUCACCAAUGGAAGUAAUUGCUUAAUGUGGCAAGCAGAAUAUCUGUAGAAUGUGAAUGCAACGUAUAAUAAGAGUGAAGGAGCAUACAAGAUCCUUUCAUAUAGUGUUUAUUUUGGUUGAAGUUGGUAGAAGAUUGUACAUCAUAUAACUUUCUAGGAGUAACAAUUGAGCUGUAAUUUGCAUGUCCUUUCCUUUGUUUCGAAUAACGGGGUUUUUAGGACGACUUGCCACCUCGAUUAUUCCACUAGAUACCUGCUACCAACACACGUACUGGUUAAUUCUGUCCAUCAAGGCUUUAGCAAAUAUGAAUACAACAACAACAACAACUACCCAGUAUAGUCCCACAAAGUGGGGUCUGGGGAGGGUAAUAUGUAGACGCGCCUUACCCCUACCCGAAAGGGCAGAGAGACUGUUUCCAAUAAAUAUGAAUACAACCUAUCAAAUUUUAACUCUGGUCUCCUACGAUUUUUCAUCUACUUGAUUGACCGCUAGGUUACACCCUUGAGUUCCACUUUCAAUCUCAACAAAAAAAGAAAGAAAGAAAAAGCUUCAAAUGGUCUACUCUUGGCUCUUGAAAGUUCUUCUCUAGCCGCAUCGCCAGAAUGACAUUGGUAGAAUUGUUAUAUGAAAUGGUAAUGUGUACCAUAUACUUUGAAUUACACGAUCAUAAAAUAACCUGAAUACCAUGUGCACAUCGACUAAUUCUAGGGGAUACCUGCGACCUUCCACCGGUAAUAGGUAUCAUAUAACUCUAUCCACUAAGGUUUGGAUGGAUGAGAAGAAAUCAUAGCCUCCAUUGG
rnacentral:lncRNA from 1 species